rnacentral:tRNA from 1 species
CCCGGCGUAGAGCAGCCCGGUAGUUCGCGUGGCUCAUAACCACGAAAGACCGGGUUCGAUACCUGGGCCUGCAACCA